CAAUAGCGUAUAUUUAAGUUGUUGCAGUUAAAAAGCUCGUAGUUGGAUUUCGGGCGGGUGACGGCGGUCCGCCUCUGGUGUGCACUGCCGGCAUCCGCCUUUCUGUCGGGGACGGGCUCCUGGGCUUCAUUGCUUGGGACUCGGGUUCGACGUGGUUACUUUGAGUAAAUUAGAGUGUUCAAAGCAGGCGAUCGCCCUGAAUACAUUAGCAUGGAAUAGCACGAUAGGACUCUGGCCUAUUUUGCUGGUCUGUAGGACCGGAGUAAUGAUUGAUAGGGACGGUUGGGGGCAUCCGUAUUCUCAAGCGAGAGGUGAAAUUCUUGGACCUUGGGAAGACGAACAGCUGCGAAAGCGUUUGCCUAGGACGUUCUCUUUAA
rnacentral:rRNA from 1 species